rnacentral:rRNA from 1 species
AUUGAACGCUGGCGGCAGGCCUAACACAUGCAAGUCGAGCGGAUGAGAGGAGCUUGCUCCUCGAUUUAGCGGCGGACGGGUGAGUAAUGCCUAGGAAUCUGCCCAGUAGUGGGGGACAACGUUUCGAAAGGAACGCUAAUACCGCAUACGUCCUACGGGAGAAAGUGGGGGAUCUUCGGACCUCACGCUAUUAGAUGAGCCUAGGUCGGAUUAGCUAGUUGGUGGGGUAAAGGCCUACCAAGGCGACGAUCCGUAACUGGUCUGAGAGGAUGAUCAGUCACACUGGAACUGAGACACGGUCCAGACUCCUACGGGAGGCAGCAGUGGGGAAUAUUGGACAAUGGGCGGAAGCCUGAUCCAGCCAUGCCGCGUGUGUGAAGAAGGCCUUCGGGUCGUAAAGCACUUUAAGUUGGGAGGAAGGGCUCAUAGCGAAUACCUGUGAGUUUUGACGUUACCAACAGAAUAAGCACCGGCUAACUUCGUGCCAGCCGCCGCCGUAA